GCGGCGAUGGCGGAAUUGGUAGACGCGUCAGCUUGAGGGGCUGGUGGGGGCAACCCCGUGGAGGUUCGAGUCCUCUUCGCCGCA
rnacentral:tRNA from 1 species